rnacentral:lncRNA from 1 species
CAGGAUCAUGGCCAGUAAUUGGAGUCUUUGUGGUGUUUGUGAUAAUCGUCAAAGAACUAAAUCAUCAGUAGUCUGGUGUUCCGAAUGUGACGAAGGACUAUGUGAAGAUUGUAAGGAACAUCACAGAAUUUCCAAUGGAACAAAAAACCAUGAAACCGUUUCCAUCUCCGAGUACAAGAAAUUACCGACCGAAGCCCUGCACAUCGCUCAAGUCUGCAAACUACAUAAUGAAAAAUAUGAGCUUUUCUGUGGAAAACACGACUGUCCGUGCUGUAAGAAAUGUGUGAAAUCUCACAACGAUUGUAAGGGUUUAACCGAUAUUAAUAAACUCAUAAAAGGCGUCAAAACUUCAAACGCUUUUUAUGAAAUCGAUCAAACCCUGCUUGAAGUCGCCAAUAAUGUUAAACGACUCAGUGCUAACCGGAAAGAAAAUUUAAACUCUUUUAAAGACACGAAAAAAAAAAAUUGAAGCAGAAAUUAAACAAUCAAGAACCAAGAUUAAUCAUCACCUUGAUAAACUUCAGGAGGAUUUAAUUGAAGAAUUAAUAGCUGUUGAACGAAAAGAAUGCAACAAAAUAGAAAAAUUGUUGACUUCUCUGGAAAAGAAGGAAACAGAGAUCACUGGAAUGCAAGAAAACCUUGCUACUACCAAACAGCAUGCGUCCGAGCUUCAAACAUUCGUAACAAUGAAAGAUAUCGAGAAGGAUAUUGCAGUCGAAGAAAAUUUUCUUCAAUCGAUCAUCGCAAGUGACAUCAUAAACCAAGUCAAUGUUUCAUGUCAAAUUAACAAGUCUUUACAGCAAAUCACAUCCAGCGUGCAGAAAUUUGGAGAAAUUAAUGUUAGUUAUGAUUCAUGGGAUUUUACAAUUCAGAAACGGAAGAAAAGACAAGCCCAAAUUAUGGUAGCUUUGCCAACCAGAAAUAUCGACAACCUGACUCUGACAUUACACAAACGUAUCAAUACAGGGUUGUCAGAUAUCCGAGGUUGUUCUAUGCUUCCUGGUGAUAGGACAGUAUUUUCCUCUUCUAAACAAAGUACAAUAAAAGUAAUCAAUUCUGACGGAUCAGAAGAUUUCAAAAUGAGUAAGAUUGGUCUUACGUUUGAUGUGGUAUUUAUCGGUGAUGAUUCUAUUGCUGUUACAUCUGGCGAAUUCAUAAAGAUUUUUAUAAUCGAUCUAAACAAGCAAAAACUGAAGAAAUCAUUUACAGUAAAUGCAUAUAAUCAUGGAGUAGUAUACAAAGAUGGACAUUUGAUUUAUUGUGCCAGGGAGAAAGGAUUAAAUAUGAUAAGUCUGAAUGAUGAUUCCAUUACCAAUGUCAACAAUAACAAACUUCCUUAUUAUGCAUACGUUACAACAUUCGGUGAUAAACUGUUCUACACUAACUUUGGCAAUGACAGUGUAACCUGCUGUGAUUACCAUGGCAAUAUAAUGUGGACUUUCAGAGAUACAAGCGUUUUGGGCGCUCCGCUCGGUAUUUCUAUAGACAAUGAUGGUUGCGUGUUUGUAGUAGGAUAUGAUACUCAGAAUGUGGUCGUCAUCUCUCCCGAUGGACAACGAUUUAGACAACUUUUAUCACGUGAUGAUGGACUGAAAAGACCACACGUUCUGCAUUAUGACACAUCUACAAAUAAAUUGUUAGUGGCAAAUGCAGCCAAUGUCGCGUUCUUGUACGAAGUUAGAUGAUAAGUUGUAAUGUUUAAUGGUUACAGUGACGUCACAGACUUACAUGAGAUAACCAAUAUAUUUCAAAUAGGUCAAUUGGUUUUAUUAGACUUGUUCACGUUUUACAUUCUUUGCAUAUGCUUAUAACA